GGGGGGCAAGAAGCGCGCUUUCCUUAGUCUCCUAUCAAUGAUACUCGUGCGCGGUCCUCAAUCACCCCUCGGGGGCGAGUUGGUAGGUGCCUCAUUACAGACGUUAUCUUGGCUUCCCCUUCGUUGACAUGAGUUGGUACGUGCCGCGUUCAGUCUUUUCUAGUCUGUUCCGGGUCAGCAAUUCUUGCUAGUCUCGCCUAGCCACCCCUCCGGGCAGUCUGGUUGGUAGGUGCCUGGUGACGCAAUAGGAGUAGGCGUCAAUUUGGGCAACCCCGCCUCGGGCUGAGCCUGACCCUGUGGCCCGUGUUUCGCGCCUCCCGGCCGGGCGGCUUCCAGGCUCCGCCAUGUCCCUGGCUGUGGGCGACAGCGGGCGGACGGGCAGGUUCAGCAGGCGGGGGGCGACCCCCGGCACGCCCUGGCUGGGGGGCGGAGUGGUGGCUCGGAGUCUGCAGGCCGAGCUGCUGCAGGAGGAGGAGGCAGUGAGCGGUGUCUCUGUGUCCCAGGGCGGGGCCCCGUUGCCGCCGCUGUCCCACAAGCGGAAUGGCGUGUUGAUGGCUCCGCCGGGGGGGAAACGUUGGCCGGCCCGGGCCUGCUCGAUGCUGUGCUGCCUCCUGGCCGUCUCCGCCCUCGCCUUCCUCCUGGCCAUCGCUUGCCUCGUGCUCAAAGAUUUGCGCUCCGAGAAAGAGAAGAAUGAAGAUGGUAUAGAAACUGGCUUGCUAGGAUUUUGGGGUCUGUUUGUUCUAGCCUUGAUGACAGGGCUCUCAUGCUGCAGCUUUUCUUGGACGGUGACUUAUUUUGAUUCCUUUGAACCAGGAAUGUUUCCUCCGACUCCACUUUCACCUGCACGAUUCAACCUGGGUGUGUGAUAACGGCACUCGCUUCACUGCAGUAAGUAAGGCUCCACCACUGAAGUUUCUCUGCACCAACACCAGCAAAGGAGGGCUCUGCCAAGUAUUUGGAUGUAGAUGUUUUGAAGUCAUUAAUACAGAACAGUAUCCUUGGAUUAACUUCCAUGAUGCCAUGCAGCGUGUAUGCUGCAUCUCUUCCCACGAAAAUAGAUCUUUCUCUUCACCCACUUCUCCAACUUAUCUGUCAGUGUCACUGUCUUACAUAGACACACUUACUUGUCCACUCCCUUGCUUCUGUCUGCGCACACGCUCAUACGUAGGGAUAAAAAAAUUUGCCAGAUGCCUAAAUAUCAGAGGAUUAAACAGGUUUGAGGGCCCUGUAGCCUCUAUUUAAAAUUGACUGGGUAGUCCUGGGUUAAACUAUAAUGUCUCUAGGGAGUCAGCACAGCUCCUAUGGUGCUACAGAUUUCAGAUAAAUGGAGUGAAAGUUAACCUUUACAGUUCUCUUAAAUUGGGAGAUACGGUGGAGCACACAAAGAACAAAUAAUGACGGCAAACACUGUUGCAAGUAAAAGAAAAUCUUGUUUGUAUUUUAAGUUUUACACACACACGCACCCCUACACAACCAGAGAGAGCCCAAGCAAUAGCCAAUGCCGUAAGCAUACUCACAUACCCAAAGAUAUUAGUCUAGUGGGUGUCUCAACAGGUUGUCAUCGAUCAAGGGGCGGUUCCUGCUGGGGUGGUCUUCCUACUUUAGCUCAACCAGGGAACCUCUUAUCUUGUUCUGACCAUGCGUAAUACCCUAUGCAUAUGCAUGAGGGUUCUACCUUCCUUUUCCUUAUCUGUACUUCUACAUGCCAUAAAUUCUGAGGUGCCCUGCUUAUGUCAACUGGUUUCCAGAGUAACCUGUGGUCAGAACAGAACUUUCCAUGAUGUUACAAUCAGGUGUCUUGCAGUCUGGACAGGAGACUGACAGGACAUUCCUUCCACAUGGGCUAUAGUAUGGCAAUACUGAAUGGCAUUGUGGCAGCUCUCACCAUAGUAUGGUGCCUCAUUUGAAUCCUGCGCUGGCUCGGUGAUCUUCAACAGGUCAAGAUGCACAUAGAAACUACUAUAAACUGUCCAAUCUGCUUUUUUUUACAACACUGUGGAAUGACAUUUCACAUCUCAAAUAGAAAUGUUUGUCAUUCACUGUAUGUUUCAGAUUUAUAGAUUAAUCUUUGGGUUUAUAUUUAUAGGGUGUCUGCUUGAGUUGCAUUAAGAGUGGGGGGAGGGGAAAAUGCCAUAUGUUUAUAGGCAAAUGUGAAUUUGUCUUAAAACAAAAAGAAAUAUUUACAAAUUGAAAAUGUUUUAAACCCAGGGAAUGACACUUUGAUUGCUAUUACUGUAUAAAGGAUUCUUAUCUGCACUUCCAGCUAUACUACAGAGUACAGAUAAACAUGACACUUGUGAAUUUAACCAUAUAUUUAAAAUGUACAGUGUUGCUAAUAAUAAAGGCCACUAACUUUUUUUUCACUGUACAUGCUAUUUAACUUGUACUUGGCCUAGGCAGUAAAAACUAGAUUGACUUUUGCUAGUCUACUCAAUUUUAUACUCUGGUUUGUCAGCAUUCGUGCAAUACUUGUUUAUAACACUGCAGAGGACAAUUUAUUUAAAUAUUUCAUUAGAUUUAAAAAAAAAUCAAAAUAUUUCAUUUCAUAUUAGCUUUUAUAAACUGUCCCCUCCUUGUUUUGUAAACAACCUAAAACUUGUGCCUAAAUCACCUGAUAGUGUUUUUACUUUGGAGUAAUGCAACUAUAUGCUAUAACUACUGUAUAUACAAAAAAAGUUUCACUAAGAAUGUGUGGAAACUUCUCCACUUUGUGCCAUUAAAGAAUAGAAAAUAUUGCCUAAAUCUUUUUACAUGGUAAAUUAAUACAUAACAUCAGUUUCCAGUAUCUGCAGUAGGGUACCUCACUGAAGAACUGCAGGAGUAAUUUUUAUGGCUUUUUGCAUCUUUGUAAUGUAUGUAACUGCUCAGCUUCUUACAAUAUUUUUCUUAAUCUCUUAAAAGGAUCAAGAGUCUACCAAACAGUUAAACUACAAUGGCAUAAGUGUUAGAAUUUCAUUUUUUACUUUUUUUGCUUCACAUGCAUAUUUGAAGUUUAUGGAUAUUUUAAGAUGUAUAUUGGUUGUAUUCUGUAAUUAAAAUGCUUGUAAAGUUGAUUAGAGCAUCAAACUCUUGUAAGAGU